GAAAUGCGAUAAGUAAUGUGAAUUGCAGAAUUCAGUGAAUCAUCGAAUCUUUGAACGCACAUUGCGCCCCCUGGUAUUCCGGGGGGCAUGCCUGUUCGAGCGUCAUUUCACCACUCAAGCCUCGCUUGGUAUUGGGCGACGCGGUCCGCCGCGCGCCUCAAAUCGACCGGCUGGGUCUUUCGUCCCCUCAGCAUUGUGGAAACUAUUCGCUAAAGGGUGCCGCGGGAGGCCACGCCGUAAAACAACCCCAUUUCUAAGGUUGACCUCGGAUCAGGUAGGGAUACCCGCUGAACUUAAGC
rnacentral:misc_RNA from 1 species